GACUUCGUUGGACGAUUAACUAUAUAAAAGAAAUGAAAAAAAAAAAAGUGAAUGUGUUUGUAGUGUAAAAUGUGAAGUAGAAAGGAAGGCUUUUUUAAACAUAGGGUUCCAUUAUUUAUCAUAGACUUUAGUCCUUUUUUGGUUUCUUGUAACUCUCUUGGUGUCUGCCUUGUGGGCCGUCUCAUUUCCACCGACCCUUUUUGCUCCAUAACGCAUACUAUAUAACACACACAAACACACACGUUAAGUUAAAUUAUUAAUUUGUAUUGUUGAUUAGUUUUUUUUUUUUUUUUUUCAUACGAUGUUCAAACUAUAUAUGUAUAUACAUUGGAAACAUCAAUAGUCAAACUACGCAAGCGACCUAAAUGAUAAUCUCUAUGAUAAAUUAUGUUGUCACGAUAUAGAUUUCAUAUUGAUUCUUGAACAUGGAACAUUGUAUCUCUAUAUCCCAUGCAAAACCAAACGUAAGUUGUUA
rnacentral:lncRNA from 1 species